CCUACGGGAGGCUGCAGUGGGGAAUAUUGCACAAUGGGCGCAAGCCUGAUGCAGCCGUGCCGCGUGUGUGAAGAAGGCCUUCGGGUUGUAAAGCACUUUCAGCGGGGAGGAAGGCGGUGAGGUUAAUAACCUCAUCGAUUGACGUUACCCGCAGAAGAAGCACCGGCUAACUCCGUGCCAGCAGCCGCGGUAAUACGGAGGGUGCAAGCGUUAAUCGGAAUUACUGGGCGUAAAGCGCACGCAGGCGGUCUGUCAAGUCGGAUGUGAAAUCCCCGGGCUCAACCUGGGAACUGCAUUCGAAACUGGCAGGCUAGAGUCUUGUAGAGGGGGGUAGAAUUCCAGGUGUAGCGGUGAAAUGCGUAGAGAUCUGGAGGAAUACCGGUGGCGAAGGCGGCCCCCUGGACAAAGACUGACGCUCAGGUGCGAAAGCGUGGGGAGCAAACAGGAUUAGAUACCCCAGUAGUC
rnacentral:rRNA from 1 species